UACGAAGGGGGCUAGCGUUGUUCGGAUUUACUGGGCGUAAAGCGCACGUAGGCGGAUCGUUAAGUCGGGGGUGAAAUCCUGGAGCUCAACUCCAGAACUGCCUUCGAUACUGGCGAUCUUGAGUCCAGAAGAGGUGAGUGGAACUCCUAGUGUAGAGGUGGAAUUCGUAGAUAUUAGGAAGAACACCAGUGGCGAAGGCGGCUCACUGGUCCGGUACUGACGCUGAGGUGCGAAAGCGUGGGGAGCAAACAGG
rnacentral:rRNA from 1 species